CCUAACCUACAUUAAAGGAUAAACUUGAAGAUUUCAUUUGAAAUCGAGUUUCAAUUCUCAUUCUAUUUUGGAAUUGAAACUCCAAGAAUCCAAGCCUUUCAAUCAUCCAUUCCACUUCCUGCAAGUUGUUAGACUCGAGCCAAGGAAAAUUGGAAGCAAGAUCAAGCUCAAUUGAAGCAAACCGAGGGUGAAUUUUUAGAUUUUUCUCCUCUUCGAUUCUCUCUAAAUUCUCCAUUAUUUUAUUUGUUCUUUGGUUGUCUGAAGACCUACCAAU
rnacentral:lncRNA from 1 species